CACCAGUCGAUAAUUAAAAAUGAUCAGUAUGCUAGUCAUGAUUGGUGGUGGUACAACAAAAGAUGCACUAAAAAGAGCGUUGUAAAAAUUAUAUUCAAAUAAUCUUGCUUCCCAAUGCUCUUGGACCGGAGUUAAAGACAAUUUUAAGUUAAAAGACUUAAAAAUUAUUACUUGUAUGAAAACUGCCAUUCAGAAAACCUGUCCUACUACUACGGAAGCAGAAUUUGAAGAUAUCUUAAAAACCUGGUUUAAACAAGCAAGUUUAUGAUUAAUCCGCGAAAAAGCGAAAAAUGCGACGCAAAACUA